rnacentral:rRNA from 1 species
UAGAGUUUGAUCCUGGCUCAGAUUGAACGCUGGCGGCAUGCCUUACACAUGCAAGUCGAACGGCAGCACGGGAGCAAUCCUGGUGGCGAGUGGCGAACGGGUGAGUAAUAUAUCGGAACGUGCCCAGUCGUGGGGGAUAACGCAGCGAAAGCUGUGCUAAUACCGCAUACGAUCUAUGGAUGAAAGCGGGGGAUCGCAAGACCUCGCGCGAUUGGAGCGGCCGAUAUCAGAUUAGCUAGUUGGUGGGGUAAAGGCCCACCAAGGGACGAUCUGUAGUGGUCUGAGAGGACGACCAGCCACCGGAACUGAGACACGGUCCAGACUCCUACGGGAGGCAGCAGUGGGGAAUUUUGGACAAUGGGCGCAAGCCUGAUCCAGCAAUGCCGCGUGCAGGAUGAAGGCCUUCGGGUUGUAAAGCACUUUUGUCCGGAAAGAAAUCCGUCGGGAUAAUACCCUGGCGGGAUGACGGUACCGGAAGAAUAAGCACCGGCUAACUACGUGCCAGCAGCCGCGGAAUUC